UACGUAGGGUGCGAGCGUUGUCCGGGAUUACUGGGCGUAAAGGGCUGGUAGGCGGCCAACUACGUCGGAUGUGAAAUCCCCAGGCUUAACCUGGGAACUGCAUCCGAUACUGGUCGGCUUGAAUCCGGGAGAGGGAUGCAGAAUUCCAGGUGUAGCGGUGAAAUGCGCAGAUAUCAGGAGGAACACCAGUGGCGAAGGCGGUGCUCUGGGCCGGAACUGACGCUGAGGAGCGAAAGCGUGGGGAGCAAACAGG
rnacentral:rRNA from 1 species